AGGGAGUUUGAUCCUGGCUCAGGAUGAACGCUGGCGGCGUGCUUAACACAUGCAAGUCGAACGGGGUUUAAGAAGGAAGCUUGCUUUCAUUUUAAACCUAGUGGCGGACGGGUGAGUAACGCGUGAGGAACCUGCCCUUCAGUGGGGAACAACAACUAGAAAUGGUUGCUAAUACCGCAUAAUGUCGGAGAGCCGCAUGACUUUCCGACCAAAGGAUUUAUUCGCUGAAGGAUGGCCUCGCGUCCGAUUAGAUAGUUGGUGAGGUAACGGCCCACCAAGUCUACGAUCGGUAGCCGAACUGAGAGGUUGAUCGGCCACAUUGGGACUGAGACACGGCCCAGACUCCUACGGGAGGCAGCAGUGGGGAAUAUUGGGCAAUGGGCGAAAGCCUGACCCAGCAACGCCGCGUGAAGGAUGACGGUCUUCGGAUUGUAAACUUCUUUAAUUGGGGAAGAACAAAAUGACCUACCCAAAGAAUAAGUCACGGCUAACUACGUGCCAGCAGCCGCGGUAAUACGUAGGUGACAAGCGUUAUCCGGAUUUACUGGGCGUAAAGGGCGUGUAGGCGGUCUUGCAAGUCAGAAGUGAAAUUCCUGAGCUCAACUCGGGCGCUGCUUCUGAAACUGCAGGACUUGAGUGCUGGAGGGGAUAGCGGAAUUCCUAGUGGAGCGGUAAAAUGCGCAGAUAUUAGGAAGAACACCGGUGGCGAAGGCGGCUAUCUGGACAGUAACUGACGCUGAGGCGCGAAAGCGUGGGGAGCAAACAGGAUUAGAUACCCUGGUAGUCCCU
rnacentral:rRNA from 1 species